AGAGGUAAAUAUCACAUUAAUGUUUUGUCUUACAGAUAGCCAUACAGGUUUGAACCAACAACCUGAUAGAAAGUUUUACCUGUUGUGUAAACAGGAUGAGCUAGCUUUGUGAAAGGUUGUCUUGCAGGAAAAGAAGGAAAAUGACUUUAGAAAAGAUGAGAUACAACAGAUAGGAUAGUUAGCUGAAUAUCCUGAAAGGGUCCACCUGUGCCAUGGAAGUUUGAAAGCUGCUAUAUGGACCUUACUGUCAGACAAAUCACAUUUACCUCUGGCUGAGUGGAGGAGAACAGAGUGAUGUUUCUAUACUCAGAUCAUAAAAUGACACCUCUUGAGGUGCAGGUGCCCAGUGAUUUGUAUGACCAGAACUGGAGUGCACAGUUGACAAAAUAGCACCAGUUGCUGAGGUCCAAGUUUCCCAGAAACAAAUAAUUUAAAGGCCCAUUGAAACCAGAAAAUACAUUUUUGGUAAUAAUUUGACGAAGCCAGUUGUAGAGUUUUAACAUGAGACAGUUAGGGAGAGAGAGUUUACAUUUUGCUGGAACCUUGUUACAGAUUUGCAGGAGCAGCCAGUGUCCAAGGAAACCCACAGCCAUUCUAAAUAUAGGAACAACACAAUCAGACAAGUUGGCAAGAUUCAAGAGUGGUGACAUUCUGCCCAAGAUUCAAGUCUGGAGAUUCAAUUGGCUGAUUUUAUAAUCUUUUUUUUUUUAUUAAAGUUUAAAAAUGACAUUGACUUAAGACUGCAUGUAUAUUGUUUUCAGUCAAAGGCUUUUCUAUUCAACACAUUAUGAUCUGGAAAAAAACUAUAUUGGAGACAAGUUUGUAUAACAAAAUGAAAGAAAGAAAAAGGUUUUUAUGUUACAAAGAUUUUUUUAAAAACGUACUAAGUGACAUUAUCAAAGAGGAUACUACACGAGUGUCUUUUCAUAUUAAAUGAAGUUAUUAAACAAGAUUAAUAAAACAAUAAAAUGCGAG